GGCUCGUUGGUCUAGGGGUAUGAUUCCUGUUUAGGGUGCAGGAGGUCCCGGGUUCAAAUCCCGGACGAGCCC
rnacentral:tRNA from 1 species